rnacentral:lncRNA from 1 species
AAAGUUUACAUUUGGUUCAAAAGUAAAUUGUACAAAACGUUAUACAUAUAUCAUAUGAACAAAACGAGACGAGUCUUCCACGGACUCCGUCUUCACCAAAAGAGAUCAUCGGGUACCUGUCUAAUUUGGACCUGAGAAUACAAGCAGUUUGAAAAUCAGCAUAAAGCUGGUGAGUUCAUAAGCGGUUUUGUUUUAUGAAAAUGUAUCGGUUUCCUUUAGUUUUCCGAAAAGGUUUGUUAUCCAAGAAAAUCCCAUAUUUUCUUAUGUUUAACAGUUUAGUUAUCUGUCAUUACAGUUCAGUUACGCGUUAUGUGUUAACCCCAGGAAAAUCCCAUAUUUUCCUAAAUACAAGAUUGAUCGAAUAACACAGAAUAUAGUUUAAUACACAAAACUAUAUAUUGAAAAUCAUAGGAUUACUUUCCCGAAUUAGAUAUGAAAUACCAUAAUAUACUCGAACUGUAGAUAGAAAGUAGUUUGAAAACCUUGGGACUAACAUCCCGGACUAGUUACAAGAUAGUUUGAUAAAACCAUGGGAUCACUAUCCCGAACUAGAUAUAAGAUAGAUGGAUAAAGCCAUGGGAUUAUUAUCCCGUAUAAGAUAUAGGUUGAAAUUAUCGAACUAUCAUCCCGUACUAGAUGUAAGAUAUAUACAUACUGAAAACCAUGGGAAUAACUUCCCGCACUAGAUACAAGUUCAAUAUAUUGAAAACCAAUGGAAUAACUUCCCGCACUAGAUACAAGUUUGAUAUACUGAAAACCAUGGGACUACCAUCCCGGACUAGAUACGAAAUAGUUUGAUAAAACCAUGGGAUCACUAUCCCGAACUAGAUAUAGAUUCUAAAACCCAAGCUGUGAAUAAACUUUUAUUAAUACGUAUUGUGAGUCGGGUAACCAUGCUGAUACGACAACGAGACCUCCUUGACGUUUGUCAGACGUCGGACGAUAUCCAGAAUUUGUCACCCCAGGCGUGCCCGCCUAACUGUAGCUAGCAGUUAAGGUGUGGGAUUGUCAAUCCCGAAUAGAUCUAUUCACAAAUUCCUCGCUCUCCCUCCAGGAGACUCUGGUUACACUUCCGGGGAGGAUUUACUGAUCAUCCAUAAAGGGUAGUGACUAUCUCACAAACUAGUACUAUAUUAUUCAUAGGGUUCUCAUAUGAUACCAAACAUACAAAGAUUAUGAAACAUAAUACAGUGAAAAUAGAUACAUACAAUGAAACUAUCUGGCAAUACAUUCAAAUGAUACGGAGAUAAACUGAAUCGGACAUAGUUUAUCUAAUAAAUUUAUAUAGAUAUCAAUAUAUGAUAGAAGAAGAAUUACAGAACCCCAAAUUAUUCCCAUAAUAACUUGAUUAGUUUGGUUAUUUUCUUAACUAAAAUCCAUUUAGUUGUAAUUGAUAAAUCACUCCUUAUGCUCAGCACAAUACAUAAGGAGUAAAAGUAUUUAUAAUUUUCCAGAUAUUAUUUGAAACACAUCAAUGUUAUGUUUUCAAAACAAUUAUAGUUUGCUUGUAUUCCCCCCCUAAAAACAUUGAAAAACACAGAAAAGGCGUAGGGGUAUGAACUCACCGGACGAGAAAUGUGACGAUUUCGGAUGCUAAACGUUGGUCCUGGGCUUGCAAACGCACGAGGUUCCUAAGUAUAAUGUAAAGAUACACAUUUGUAUCUAGUUAAGACUUAGAUUGAUUAUUUUUUAGGGACAAACACUUUUAGUCGCGGAAAAACCUCAUUACAAGUGUUUGGAGGGACCCGGGUGGCGUUUAAGGACGUAAAUGGCACUAGGGACUUGGAACAUGAGUUUACUCCCCAUGAAUAACCUUAUACAAGAGUUUUUGGUCUAAACACCGAUUCCCCAUGAGUUUACGGUCGUAAACUCAUGGUGGGGUAGUUUAUGGUGCAAAAUGGCUUCAAACACUUAGGGAAUAAUUUCUAGGUUUGGUUUAAGGGCUUGGAAUAAUUUUUAAACACCAAAAUGACAUAUUUAAGGGAGUUUACGGCCUAGCAUAGGACUCAUGGCCGUAAACUCUUAUAAACCCAUGAAAAAUUGUGUUUUUGGAUUCCAAACAAAUCACAUGUGAUUGCUAAAAUUGUUCCAAGGCCUUACAUAAAUUUUUAGGCAUAAAAUGACAUGGUUUUAGGAUUUUACGGCCAUGUAGCACCUUCUAUGGCCGUAAACUCUCAAAUGAAGAGUUUUGAUGUUUAUAAAGUCCUUAAACUACUUUUGGUUGGUCCUAUGAUUUAUUCCAAGGCUUUUGGUGGUGUUGGAUGGCUUUCUAACACCUUGAAAUUGAUUUUACACCAUGUUUUAAGGAGUUUACGGCCCAAGAACAUGCCUUGGCCGUAAACUCACAAUAAUCCCUCAAAAAUUAUGUUUCAAGUGUCCCAAGGCUAAAACCAAAUAUUCUAAAAUUCAUAUCUAAGCCUUAUUAGUGUUUUGGAAGGGUUUAAGGUCAUAAAAACCCCCAUAUAUAUGAGUUUAUGGACCAAGCAUGUGCCUUGGCCAUAAACUCCUUCAAAUCCAUCAAAAUCCAUGUUAAAAAUGUUCUAAGUCCAUUCCAUGAAGUCAUUUAGCCAUAUCUAAAGUCUAGUUGUGGUUUGGAAGGGUUUUAGGGCUUAAAACCCCUUUAAAUAUGGGUCUACGGCCUAAGCAUCAUUCUGGGCCAUAAACUCAUAUACAAGGCCUUAAUUCAUGUUUAAAUCUCGAAUUUCAAGGUCCAAUAUGAUACACAAUGAGUUUAGGAAGGUACCUUAGAGAUUUGUGGCCUUAAAUUUGAGUUUUGGACCCUUGAACUUAGAUUUAGGAGAGAGGUUAGAGAGAGAGUAGAGAGAGGAAGAAAAAUCUUCAAAUGAAUGUUUAAACAUGUUUAUAUAGUUCCCAAAACUUGGACACGGUGGAAUUCUACCCGAUACCGGCUUUAAACGAGGCUUUAGGUCGCACCCGAUUAAAUUUCCGUCACCCAGCGGGGACGUUUCUAAAACUUAUGAAAUAAAUAUUUUUGGGCUAGUUUCAUGAGUUCCUAAAAGGUUUGGACACUCAUUGGAUUAUAAUAAACAUAUAAAUUUAUUUAUUUUAACCCAAAACGGAAACGAAACGAAUUGAUUAAUGACAAAUUUUACGGGUAGAACGGGUUUUUCGACAAUGGAAAACUUCGGGUUGUUACAUUAUCCCCCCGUUAGAGGGAAUUUCGUCCUGAAAUUCAAAGAAUAAGAUAUAGAUCAUGAAUUUGGAAUGAGACAUGAAUGGAUUUGUUGCCUCGGAUCUUCACUUUCUCAAGUGGAAUCAGGUCUCUACUGGGCGUUCUAGCGAAUUCUCAUUAUCGGGAUGUGUCUUUGUUUUGCACACUGACUCUCUCUCAAUCUAUCAUAUCAAUAGGUUUUCUCAUGGAAGUUCCAACCCUGGACGACUUCGGUUUUCUCCAAGGAAUCACUAGGGUUUUGUUGGGUAGAUGUUUCUAAGGAUUCGAGACGUGAUGGUCUAGAUAGAUGUUAUCAAGCUCUAAAGGCAUCCGAAAUCUGAAGAUUGCAGAAUCGAUUUCUACGAAGAUCUCGAAGGGUCUGAUGUGAGACAACUAGACGUUCGAAAGAAACUCCUGGAAAUCCUUCAGGAUAGACAUUUCGAGGAAAGAGCUGCUAACUUCCCGUUUCUUAAUAAUCCCAGAAAUGAGGGAUGCGUGAUAAUUCAUAUCGGGAAAAACUUGAGUUUUAAGACAUGGAAUGAUACGAAGGUUUGAUACCGAAGAUCACAAGAACCGGAUCGAGGAAAAGAUCUAGACGAGCGACCCUUUUGAAACCAAGGAUAACAACAUGAAUGAGACUCGGUCAUUUCAUGUUAAACAUAGCAUCAAAGUGUUUUCGUGAAAAGUUUCCCCCUUUUUAAAUCGAAUGGAACAGAAUAGUCCUCCGGACUGAGGAUUCAAUCUAUAGGUACGAAGUUAGUGUUCUCUAUCUCACUGGUUAGUCGUCUCGAUGAUACACAUUUCGAUUACAUAUGAAGGAUUUAGCUUAGAAAAUGUUCGAAUAGAUAGAUAAAAGGUUUCCUUUUUAGUACUAGAAUCGAGAAGAACUACAGGUAUAAGAAUUGUCAAAGAGAAGUAUACCUGCAGCGACAGAGGGAUCAGUAGUUGUAGCUACAUUAGGGCAAUUCCUUUUGAAGUGCCCUGCUUCACCACAAUUGUAGCAGGCUGGACUGAUUCCAGCUCCGGAUGAUUGGUUCGUUGAUUUGGCUGGUUUUUUGUAGGUUCGAGCAAGGUGGCCCUUAUUGCCACAGUUGUCGCAGAUCCUUUCGCAACAUGGACCAAGAAUGCAGUGGUGGUAGCUGCACUUACCACACCAAGGAAGGGUACCAGUGUAUCCACUGGCAGGAGUUUGGGCUGUGCAACCGAAAUCCGAAACAGCAACAGGGGCAAUAGCAGUAUGGACUGCUACUGUUUGCUGUUUCUUAGAAGACCCUUGCGUACUCUGGGCCUUCCGCUUGUUCCAAGGUUUCUUUUUGCUUCCCCCUCCACUGGUGAUUGGCUCGGGGGUGUUAGCUUCCUCAUCAGAGCUGUCUUCGUGAUCGAUCAAGAUUUUCACAAGACAUUUAGCACUGCCAUAUGUGUCUGGCUUCGCAGCCAAGACAUUUCCUUUUGUUGGCUGGGUCAACCCCUAGAUGAACCUCUCAAUCUUUUUACUCUCCUGGGUAACCAUUCCCGGACAUAGUAACGCCAGAUCAUCGAAUCUUGAAGUAUAAGCAACUAUGUCGGAACCCUUCAUCUUGAGGUUCCAAAGUUCGUGUUCUAGCUUCUGGAGUUCGCCCCGAGGGCAAUAUUCUGCGAGUAGAAGCUCCUUCAUAGCUUCCCAACCCAUAGCAUUCGCUACAGGUAAAGUUAAAGAUUUGACUCGGCCGUUCGACCAAGUCAAGGUUUUGUCUAGGAAGGUGCAGGCGGCAAACUUUACUUUAUCAGACUCCGAACAGGCGCAUAUUUCAAAGAUUGAUUCGAUUUUCUCGAACCAUCGGGUGAGGGAAAUGACACCUCUAGUGUCAUCGAAGAAUGUCGGUUUUGCGUUCAUGAAGUCUUUAUAGGAACCCCCUUUUUGGUGUCCCUGGCUAUCAUCUGGGUUUUGGGUUCCACCCCUUGAACCACUAGAGUUCAGUUGAGGUAGGAGAGCUGAUAUGGUGGCAGAAAUGGUUGCCUGAAGUGUUUCCAAAUCGAUUUGAAUAGGAGGUGGUGGCGGAGGAGGAUUUCUGUUGUUCUUUGAGCUGGGUCCCUUUCUGGGAGGCAUAUUGAUCUAAAAAGAUCAGGAAAGAGAGGAUCAUAAGUCCUCUGAAUUGAAUCAAGAGAUAAGGAAUAGGGGAUAUCUCAUCAAGACAAAUAUAACAUCAUACUAAGCGAUAAAGCAGAAAGGAGUUAUCAAGACAGAACAUUUUAUCGCUAGAGGAAUGAUCAAGGAAUAACGCGUAUACGAGGAUUUCUACAAAGGAUCGGCUCGAGAAAUACUCCCAUAGUAUUUCAUGGUUCGCUGCAGCGACGAUUCGUUGUUUGGGAUAUUGGGUAAGUUUUAGGCAUGCUGCGUACCACAGUCACUCCCAAGCACAUGUUGGCCGUGUCUCGAAUGAAUAUAGUUGGCCAGGCUAUAUUGAUCCUAGACACGACUACAUAACUGCCCAGGUUUAACUGCAGUGUACAACACCCAUUUACUUAUGUUUUGUUCUACUUGUAGUUACGGAUCUCGACGGUUCGGUAUACUUGUAUACUUUUGAAAAUACUUAUAGUUUGAAGAUACUUUUAAUUCAGAGCACUGAGGACCUUUAGUGUCUAUAGUUUUAUACCAUGUAAGGUUUGGUAUACUCUGUUCACUAUAAACAAGGGCUCUGAUACCAAUCUGUGACACCCCGAAAAUCAAAGGCGGAAACAUUUCCGAGGUUGACUCCAAGUUGUGUAUCAAAUCCAUUGUACAUAGUAAUCACAGUAAACAACCAUUACAUUACAUAUAUAUGAAAGUUUACAUUUGGUUCAAAAGUAAAUUGUACAAAAGUUAUACAUAUAUCAUAUGAACAAAACGAGACGAGUCUUCCACGCACUCCGUCUUCACCAAAAGAGAUCACCGGGUACCUGUCUAAUUUGGACCUGAGAAUACAAGCAGUUUGAAAAUCAGCAUAAAGCUGGUGAGUUCAUAAGCGGUUUUGUUUUAUGAAAAUGUAUCGGUUUCCUUUAGUUUUCCGAAAAGGUUUGUUAUCCAAGAAAAUCCCAUAUUUUCUUAUGUUUAACAGUUUAGUUAUCUGUCAU